rnacentral:rRNA from 1 species
GAUGAACGCUGGCGGCGUGCCUAACACAUGCCAGUCGAACGAAGCUUGACGGAUGAUUUCUUCGGAAUGAAACCAGAUAUGACUUAGUGGCGGACGGGUGAGUAACACGUGAGCAACCUGCCUUUCAGAGGGGGAUAACGGCUGGAAACGGUCGCUAAUACCGCAUGAUGUGUUCGGAUGGCAUCAUCUGAACAUCAAAGAUUUAUCGCUGAAAGAUGGGCUCGCGUCUGAUUAGAUAGUUGGUGGGGUAACGGCCUACCAAGUCUACGAUCAGUAGCCGGACUGAGAGGUUGAACGGCCACAUUGGGACUGAGAUACGGCCCAGACUCCUACGGGAGGCAGCAGUGGGGAAUAUUGCACAAUGGGGGAAACCCUGAUGCAGCAACGCCGCGUGAAGGAUGACGGUUUUCGGAUUGUAAACUUCUUUUCUUAGUGACGAAGACAGUGACGGUAGCUAAGGAAUAAGCAUCGGCUAACUACGUG